rnacentral:rRNA from 1 species
GUUGAACGCUGGCGGCGUGCCUAAUACAUGCAAGUCGAGCGAACGGACGAGAAGCUUGCUUCUCUGAUGUUAGCGGCGGACGGGUGAGUAACACGUGGAUAACCUACCUAUAAGACUGGGAUAACUUCGGGAAACCGGAGCUAAUACCGGAUGAUAUUUUGAACCGCAUGGUUCAAAAGUGAAAGACGGUCUUGCUGUCACUUAUAGAUGGAUCCGCGCUGCAUUAGCUAGUUGGUAAGGUAACGGCUUACCAAGGCAACGAUGCAUAGCCGACCUGAGAGGGUGAUCGGCCACACUGGAACUGAGACACGGUCCAGACUCCUACGGGAGGCAGCAGUAGGGAAUCUUCCGCAAAGGGCGAAAGCCUGACGGAGCAACGCCGCGUGGGUGAUGAAGGUCUUCGGAUCGUAAAACUCUGUUAUUAGGGAAGAACAUAUGUGUAAGUAACUGUGCACAUCUUGACGGUACCUAAUCAGAAAGCCACGGCUAACUACGUG